rnacentral:lncRNA from 12 species
GCAGUAGUGUUCUUGUUGACAGCACGAACAUAUUCGGUAUCCUACUUCCGNNNNNNNNNNGGGGGGGGGGGGUUGGAGGGGGGGGACAAGGGAAGGCAAGUCCCUUUGCCCAAACACCCACCCUCUCCCGCCCAGCCUGGCAACAGCAGACGCCAAAGGAUAAAGGGGCAUUUAAAAAAGAAAGAAAAAAAAAAAAAAAAAAGUAGAUUCUUAAGAGUAGAGCACAGCAUUCGGUCACCUGCUGCAAGAGAAGCCCUCCGGGUCACCCAGCCCUGAGUCACUUCCCCCCUCGGCACGGUCCAGGCUCGCAGGAGCAGAGGCCCCCGCAGCCCCCACGGCCCCGCGCCCCCGCGCCGCCCACGGCUCUGCGCCCCAGCCCGCGCCACUGCUACCUUCGCUAAGGGCAGCUCUGAAUGAAAGGAGCCGAGGCAGGCUCCGGAUUUAUGAAUGUGCAGGGGAGGAGGGGAGGGAUAUCAUGUGACAAUAAAGGAGAGCGUCUUAUUCACAAAAAAAAAAAAAAAAAAAAAAUUGGCUUUGUGACAGCUGUGUGCUCCGCUGAGUGAGAUUUCCAGUUGAAGGAUGGAUGAGUGGAGCCACAUUCCACAUGCAAGUCCUUGCACUGAAGAGCAGCUAGUGUGUAGAAAACUGGCUUGU